rnacentral:misc_RNA from 1 species
GUUAAUCGAAUUAGAUAAAUUCAAUUUUUAGACAAAAUAAAUCAACUAUAGGUCAAUUUUAAAACAGUGGGUGAGCCUUUCGACCCUGAAGAUUGAUAACCUUCCGUUUUUAACCCACCAGAGACUAUAACAGUUCACAAAAUGUUUAAAGUGUUAGACUCUGUUUAAGGAGUCAACUCUUUACAUUUAUUAAUGAUCCAACCGCAGGUUCACCUACGGUUA